rnacentral:lncRNA from 1 species
CUUUAAAUUGGCAUCCCCAGCUUAGCUAGUAUAAAUUAGUUAUACUAUUAGUAGUUUGUUAGUACAUGCUGCUCAGCUCACGAAUGCUUUACUCAUCCAUAUUGAUUCUGGAAUAUUCAAGAAUCUUGUAUAAAUACAAUUAUAAUCAGCUAAAAGAAGUGUGAUUCAGUUUUAUUCACCAAAUUCAACUCUUAGUUGCUCUAUGUUCUUUCCUUCAUCUUGUCUCAUUUUCUCAUUUGCCAAACACUUUUGGAAACUUUAACCAAACAUGAAUAUGAAGCUAACAUGUUGAUUAGCACACAACAUUUAUGUUAGGCUUAUUAGCUCCUAAUUAAUCUUAACAAUGUAACGCCAUGGUAAAAAAUAGAAGUUAAAACAACUAACAACAUAUAUAUGAUCAAUGUUACAAGUAACAAGAAGAAGAUGUUGCAUAUAUAAUGCAAUAGAACUAUAAAUUCGACACCUGAUUAAACUUUUUCAGCAAUUUGGAGGGAGUAAAAUGAAAAAUAACACAUUCUAAUUAUUAAACAAACAUUCAUUAUUUUAUUUUUUGUAGGAGUACUAAAUUAAUGUUGAGUCUAGUUGCCGAUGGAAGGGCUUGGAUUUGACUGCUGCAAAAUUCGGUGGUCACCUGCAGCCUCGGGAAUUCCCAUAGUAUUAGCCAUUUCAUAACCAUAUCGUCUACCAAAAGAAAUCGGUGUCGUUUUGCCCUUUAAAACAGGAACCUUCAUUGCCUCCAUGCUCAAGAUUUUUCUACCUGCACAAGAAGGUACAUAAAACAUAACAGUAACAAGCACAAAGACAACUGCAAUUUUGCUCAGAAAGACCAUAUUUUCAAAAUAAUGCUUAGGAAAGAAAAUGAGAUCUUGUAGAGGAUGACUAGUACUGAUUUAUUUAUUCACAAGUUACUUCACAAAUGUGAGUACAUAAGUAUUUAUAGAGGACAAUAAACAGUAUAUCUUGUGAAUGUAAAUGUGGGUUAGGUACAUUUGAACCAGCAGCUGUCUGCAGGUAUAUUUUCCCACCAUUUUCAUGCAUGUAUUAAGUCUGCUAAAUUAUUGAAAACGAUGAGCAAAACAUAUAUAAUGGGAUAGAGAAAGCAAACUGAUCAAUAAUGGCUGCGACUAAAACUGAUGGAAUUAUUUGACAUUUUCUUAUUUUGACUCAAUAGAAGUUGACAUAUUAGUUAAUAAUUGUCUUUUUUUUUAUUUAAAAAAAAAAACCGUUUUAUUAAGAUUUUGUUGUUAACGUAUGUCUUUAAAGUUUGUACUAGUAGAGAAACUGCAUCUUUUUGGCUGGCCACCGAUUUUAAAGCAGAAUGGUAAAAAAAAUUAAGACAAACAGAAGGCAGGUAUUUAAACAACAAACAAUUAUAAUGCAACUAUUAAGUCU